rnacentral:rRNA from 1 species
UACGAAGGGGGCUAGCGUUGUUCGGAAUUACUGGGCGUAAAGGGCGCGUAGGCGGUUGCUCAAGUCAGGGGUGAAAUGCCAAGGCUCAACCUUGGAACUGCCUUUGAUACUGGAGAUCUUGAGUCCGGGAGAGGUGAGUGGAAUUGCGAGUGUAGAGGUGAAAUUCGUAGAUAUUCGCAAGAACACCAGUGGCGAAGGCGGCUCACUGGCCCGGAACUGACGCUGAGACGCGAAAGCGUGGGGAGCAAACAGG